GUAGGUGAACCUGCGGAAGGAUCAUUACCGAGAGUUGUAGGCUUCUGUCUACCAUCUCUUACCCAUGUCUUUUGCGUACUUAACGUUUCCUCGGCAGGUCCGCCUGCCGUAGGACAAUUAUAAACCAUUUGCAGUUGCAGUCAGCGUCUGAAAAACAUAAUAAUUACAACUUUUAACAACGGAUCUCUUGGUUCUGGCAUCGAUGAAGAACGCAGCAUCUGACUGACUGUGACCUGAUGUAUCUCGUAUG
rnacentral:misc_RNA from 1 species